rnacentral:rRNA from 1 species
UAACUCGNGCCAGCACCGCGGUAAUACGAGGGUCCAAGCUUAAUCGGAAUUACUGGGCNUAAAGCCUGCGUAGUUGUUUGUAAGCAAGAUGUGAAAGCCUGGGCUCACCUGGGACUGCAUUUGAACUGCAAGCUAGAGUUUGUAGAGGUAGUGGAAUUCCAGUGUAGCGGUGAAAUGCGUAGAGAUGGAAGGAACAUCAGUGGCGAAGGCGGCUACCUGGACAAAGACUGACACUGAGGCACGAAAGCGUGGGGAGCAAACAGGAUUAGAUACCCUGGUAGUCCACGCCGUAAACGAUGUCAACUAGCCGUCUGUGGUCUUGAACCGUGGGUGGCGUANUAACGCGCUAAGUUGACCGCCUGGGGAGUACGGCCGCAAGGUUAAAACUCAAAUGAAUUGACGGGGGCCGCACAAGCGGUGGAGCAUGUGGUUUAAUUCGAUGCAACGCGAAGAACCUUACCAUCCCUU